rnacentral:lncRNA from 1 species
CCUUUUCCCUUUUCCCUUUCACAGGUCAACACCAUCGGUACCGGCACCACCACCGACUCGCCGGAAUCCACAGGUAAGUAUCCUUAUCUAUAUCCCUCUCUUUGCUCGGAACACUGUUCCGGCAAAGAUUCGCACUGGUUUCGGUGUUUUUUCCUUCGACACCUCCUUCACCACCGUGACGCUCAGCGUCAGGCGCGCAACCCCUGUAAAUUCCACCGCCGGAAUCUGCCCCACGCGCCGGCGACGACCAUCCACGCGCCGUCGGCGACUCCCACGCGCCACGCGCGUGAGCCUUUUCCGGCCACUUUUUGCACCGGCUCCUUUUGGGCAGUUCCCCCCCCCCCCCCCCCCCCCCCCCCCCCCCCCCCCCCCCCCCCCCCCGGUACCGGCACCACCACCGACUCGCCGGAAUCCACAGGUAAGUAUCCUUAUUCCUAUCCCUCUCUUUGCUCGGAACACUGUUCCGGCGAAGAUUCGCACUGGUUUCGGUGUUUUUUCCUUCGACACCUCCUUCACGAUCGUGACGCUCAGCGUCAGGCGCGCAACCCCUGUAAAUUCCACCACCGGAAUCUGCCCCACGCGCCGGCGACGACCAUCCACGCGCCGUUGGCGACUCCCACGCGCCACGCGCGUGAGCCUUUUCCGGCCACUUUUUGCAUCGGCUCCUUUUGGGCAGUUUUCCCCCCUGCAAUUCCGACCAACUUGGUACUCCCGGAAUAUUACCCCGGUCACUUUCAUUUUGCACUGCCCUCUUAGCACUGUUCUCUCUCUUUUUAUUCUUUUUAUUUUUACUUUUAUUCUUUGGUUGAAAAAGUCGAAAGGCUUAAGCUGUAGCUGAGAAUUUUUGCAACCGAAGCACUUUUUCUUUUAUUCUAUCCUCUGCUUUUGUGGGUGUGUACUGUUUCCUUGGACAGGUGCCUACUCCUCCGGCGAAGAUCUCCGACAACUCACGCUCAGGCUCGCGGCAGGACGCAAUAGAGCUGCACGUUCUGCUAAGCUUUAGGAAAGCUUGGGCGCCUCAAAGCACACUUUCAGGUUUUUCCAUCGGGAGUUGGUACCUCCCGCUCCCUUGUUUACAUUGUGCAUCUUUUUACGUAUCGUUUUCGUAUUUUAGAUAGCAUAUCGAGUUAGUUGUUAUCUAGUUUGCUACAUUUGCGUUUUUCGUUAUAGUGCGUGUGUGUGCCAUUGUACCCCAUAUCGGUUGGUGGGAUAGUGGCCGCGGCGGGGGAUGAUAGCGUAAGGUCAUGUCCUCAGGGGGUGGGGGUGGUAGCGGGGGUGAGUAGGGAGCAGGGGAUGGCACUUCGGGCAGGGCGGGAGGAAAGGGUGGGAAGAGGGCGGCGGACGUCCAUAGACUAAGGAUUGGGUCUUGGAACAUAGGUACUCU